GGAGACUUUCUCAUUCUCUCCUUCUAAAAAAUACAGAGCACCCACCGCCCCUUCCCUCUCACUAUGCUCCGACGAAGACGCCACGAUCAGACGCGGCGAUGCCCCUCUAUCCUCCCCUUUCCCUCUCCCGUCUUUUCUUUUUUAACCUUCUCCCUUUCCCGAUCCUCCCUUCUUCUCCAUCGCUUCUUUCUCUUUUUCUCCGAGCAGCAGCAGCAAACGCGAGACAGCAGCGGUGGCGGCGGUCAGUAUCGUCCCGCCUCCUCUCCCCUAUAUUCAACUAGCCAGCGAGGACGAGCAGCUGUGAAGGCCAUCCAGAGAGGACGAGCAGGCCACCAGCAGCUCCGGCAGCCCUGCUUAUUCUCCUUUUCUCUCCUAUUUCUGGUCAUCGGCUACGAUAUUGGCCACAUCAAAUUAUUUUGACCAGGACGAAUCCGUACAGAUCUGUCCCAGUAUUUUUUUUAGCAGGUUUGAACUUAAGGUUCAAGAUUUAGAAGAGUGCCAAGAGAAGGAAAUACUAGACGAGUCGAUUUUAAUUGAUUUAUAUUUUGUAUAUAUAUAUAUAUAAUUAUUACUUUGUAAUAAUUUUCAGAAACUCCUAACGCUAACUCUAUAUAUAUGAAAUGAAUAUGGGGGAUCGUCAAAGGGGAGGGUGAUAUACGUGUUACUCGAUACUUUGUCGCAACUUAUUUAUUUAGAAAUCAUGACUAUAGGUGCUACUACAUUUUGACCUUUCAA